rnacentral:misc_RNA from 1 species
UCCGAGUUGACCCCGGCAGUCUCCUGCGAGUCCUCGCCAUUACGCGCUGGCAACACAGGACAAGGGUUGCGCUCGUUGCGGGACUUAACCCAACAUCUCACGACACGAGCUGACGACAGCCAUGCACCACCUGUCACCCAGUCCGAAGAGGCCCCCAUCUCUGAGGGUUUCCGGGUGAUGUCAAACCCAGGUAAGGUGGGGAUGACGUGUAA